CUCUUUUGUCUGCGUUUUGGCCAGGUCAUUGUCAGUGUCAACACCAAGUUGCUACUUCAUUUAUCAACAUUCCUGCGUUCCCAUCCACAUGGGAGCAGCCUGAGAAGCUUCCUGGAACAGCUGUGCGUAGGAUGGAGGGAUGCAUUAGAGAAUAGGGCGGAUGAGAGAGAGCAUGAGGAGAUGGAUUAGGUGAUAGAGAUUGGAAUCCACUGCUGUAACAUCAGAAGGAAGCGUUUUGUCCUUUUUCUAAUCGGUCAGCCAAUUACCCGAAACCCACGAAGACUAAUUAAUGAGCAGGACGGCGCCACGACUCCUGGCCUCCAGAAACCUUCCCAGUAGUCGCUCUGUGCUGCCCUGAUACACACGACAGCUGGAAUGCAGUGCCCACCUCCCCACCUGACACCUCCAAAGCCGUGCUUUUAAUAGAGCAAAAAGAACUGCUGGUCAUCUGGAACAAUAAAUAAAACUAUAAAUAUAUCACAUAUUCUUUCCUAACAAGAGAAUCAUGUUUAAAUACGUAGCUGGUGAUGUGUCUAAUUGACAGCUUUAAAAAAAAAAAAAAAAAAAUGCCAUGC